UUUGGUUCCAGCGCUUGGCGCCUGUUCCGUGGGUGUGGAAGCUCAUGGGUAUCCUUCAGUACGCGCGCAUGGUACCAGUUGUUUCUGAAGCAAAGAGGCUUGGGGAAACCAGAGGCAGACCAUUCUGUUCGAGUAAAGAUCUUGGGGCCCCAAAACCCACUGGGGCGUGAGGAACUGCUGAAGCUACUGGCAGCAUCAGUGGUGCACAGAGAUGAUGCACUGGUGGCCUUCAGCAAACCCCCAGGCUUACCUGUUUCAGGCAAACCAGGGGAAUUGACUUUCCUGUCUCUUCUACCGGAUCUAAGCCAGAAGCUGGGCCUCCCGCAGGAUCUCCAGGUGAUCAAAGCUGCAGUAAAGUAAGUUACUGAGGAAGGUUUUGGGGAAAGAAUGUUUUGGGAUGGGCAGCCUGGUUUUAGACUAUAUCUCUCCAAUGGCCAUGCUCUAAAACAUUCUAAGGGUACCAGGUCAUCUCAAAAAGAUAGGAUUUGUAUAUAGGAUAGGUGCAGUUUAAUUUAUUUAUUGCACACAUGUGAUCUGCCUUCCCCUGCCCAUGAUUUCUUUAAGUUAAUAGAAAGUGGUUCUGAGAAUUCUUCCUCCAGUUCCUUUAUGACUCUCAGAUGGAAUUCAUCAGGCAUUGAAGAUUUGAACUCAUUCAACCCAGUCAGAUGAUCCUU
rnacentral:lncRNA from 1 species